CCUACGGGAGGCAGCAGUGGGGAAUAUUGCACAAUGGGGGAAACCCUGAUGCAGCAACGCCGCGUGAGUGAAGAAGUAUUUCGGUAUGUAAAGCUCUAUCAGCAGGGAAGAAAAUGACAGUACCUGACUAAGAAGCCCCGGCUAACUACGUGCCAGCAGCCGCGGUAAUACGUAGGGGUCAAGCGUUAUCCGGAUUUACUGGGUGUAAAGGGAGCGUAGACGGCUGCGCAAGUCAGAAGUGAAAGCCCUGGGCUCAACCGCGGGACUGCUUUUUAAACUGUGUAGCUAGAGUGCAGGAGAGGUAAGUGGAAUUCCUAGUGGAGCGGUGAAAUGCGUAGAUAUUAGGAGGAACACCGGUGGCGAAGGCGGCUUACUGGACUGUAACUGACGUUGAGGCUCGAAAGCGUGGGGAGCAAACAGGAUUAGAUACCCCUGUAGUC
rnacentral:rRNA from 1 species